UUUUUAGAGAGUUUGAUCCUGGCUCAGGAUGAACGCUGGCGGCGUGCCUAACACAUGCAAGUCGAACGGAGUCGUUUUGGAAAAUCCUUCGGGAUUGGAAUUCUCGACUUAGUGGCGGACGGGUGAGUAACGCGUGAGCAAUCUGCCUUUAAGAGGGGGAUAACAGUCGGAAACGGCUGCUAAUACCGCAUAAAGCAU
rnacentral:rRNA from 1 species